ensembl:lncRNA
GCUCUCAUGUUAUUAAUAUCUUUAUCAAGCGAUCAUGAAAUUUUUGUUUUAUGUAAAUUAAUAACUCUUAUAUGUGAAAAUGCGGCAGAAAAAAAUGACAUUUAUAAAAUUAUUGGAACGAAGUUGUACAAUUACAUACAAGAAACGAUCAAAGAGAAUGAUGCAGAAAAUAAUGAUAGUAGUUCCCCAAAUAUAUAUACAAAUAAUAAUAUACAAGCAAAGGAAAACGUCGUUAUUAAUGAUGACAAAAAAAAAAAAAAAAAAAAAAAAAAAAUUGUAGUACCUAUAUACGACAUGAGUAAUUGCUAUAUGUCUAUGGAUGAAAACAAUAAUACUAUUGCUACAAUUACUACUAUGACCACUACUACUCCUUUCGACAUUAAUACUAACGGAGAUAUGUAUAACAAUAUACUAGAUAUACGUACAAAACAUAACAAUAUCAGUAAUAAUUUUAUAAAAAGAAAAGAAAUAACCGAAACCAACAUUUACUUAGAAAUUCAAUUAUACAUAUUAGAUAUGUUAUGUAAAAAAAACAAAGAAUUAAAAAAAUUAGUUACAUCAUAUAUAUUAACUACUCCUUGUCAUAACAUAAAUAAACUUUUAAUGUUCAUCCGAUAUAACAUAAUUAAUUAUAAGCAUUUAGAUAAAACGAUAUCAAAAUGUUUGAUACAUGCUACCAAUAUUAAUAUUAUUGAUUUUUGUUACGAAUUAGUUUAUAUGUUAGUAAUCGAAAAAAAAUAUUUAAAAUUGAAGCAGUUGAAUGAAACUAUUAAACGAUUAUAUCAGGUACAUAAAAUGCUAUCAACAGAUAAAAGUUAUGCACAUACUGCUCAAACUGAUCAAGCACUAUUAGAACGAAGUAAAAAAAGAAUAACAGAAAUUAUAAACAAAAUAAACAUAGUAAGAUAUGCUCCAAUGAGAAACACUUGUGAUAAUGAAGAAAAUAAAGAUGGUAAAAAUGAUAACAAUAUCGAACAUGUACAGUUGAAAAAAACAAUAAAGAUACUAAGAACAGUCACUAAAUAUUUAGAUAUAUCAAAUAGUCACAAAAAAAAAAUGAAGGUAGGAAAAGAAAUCAACAUGAUAAAAACACAAAACGAAGUAGGAAGUGUUGAAAAUGUAAAUAAACAAAAAAAAGGUAUUCAUAAAGAGACUAAAGUAUCAGAGAAGAAAAAAAAAAAACAAAAAGGUGAUAAGAAUAAAACUAAAUUAAAUGUUGUAAACGAAAUUAAUAAAGAGUUAGAAGAAAAUUGUAACAUACAUGAGAAAAUUGGGCAAAAUGAAAUGCAAAUAAGGAUUAACGAAUCAAAAAGUAUACAGCAAAAUGACCUAAACAAUAAUAAAAUAGCUUUUCAUGAAAACAUUAAAGAAAAUAGUAUUAAAAUAUGCGAACAAAACAUACCAUCUAAUUCAAACAAAAAUAACACAUUAUUUUGUUUAUUGAAAAAUAUAAAUAUUGAAUAUGAUAAUAAUAAUAUAACUGAACAUAUGAUGUUUUUAUUAGAAAAAUUAAAUUAUGAUAAUAAAGCACUUGAUACAAAAGAAGUAUUUGAAAAAGAAAUUUUGAAUAUAAUUAAUGAUAAUAAUAGUUCAGAAAUAUACACACAAAAAAUGAAGACUUGUAAUUCAACAAAUAUGAAUAAUGAGGGCUAUAGUAACGAAAAUUAUUUAGAAAAUGUAUAUAAGCAUUCCGAAGGGUAUAGUAGUGAAGGGUAUAGUAGUAAGGAGUAUAGUAGCGAGGGUUCUAGUAGCGAGGG